rnacentral:lncRNA from 1 species
GUUUUGUGAUAUCUUUAUGAUUUAUCCCCAGCUAUGUAUGCCUCAGAGCCUUUCUUCAUUUUUGCGUUAUGGCUAGUUUGUCACUGUUCUCUUCAUUCCACGUAAUUUCACGUGGACUUUAGGUUAACUGGGGUGUUUGAGGUUAUUUAUAGGUUAUCAGUGCAACAUUUAGAUCACUUGAGAUAAGAGUAAUUCACUAUCAACAGGUAAGAGGAUUAAGUCAGUUGGC